rnacentral:rRNA from 1 species
UCUUACCUACGGGAGGCAGCAGUGAGGAAUAUUGGUCAAUGGGCUUACGCCUGAACCAGCCAAGUCGCGUGAGGGAAGACUGCCCUAUGGGUUGUAAACCUCUUUUGUCAGGGAGCAAUUGGCGCUACGUGUAGCGUUAUCGAGAGUACCUGAAGAAAAAGCAUCGGCUAACUCCGUGCCAGCAGCCGCGGUAAUACGGAGGAUGCGAGCGUUAUCCGGAUUUAUUGGGUUUAAAGUGUGCGCAGGCUGCGAGUUAAGUCAGCGGUAAAAUUUCUGUGCUCAACCCCGACGAGCCGUUGAAACUG